rnacentral:misc_RNA from 1 species
UCUUGGGGAUUGACAAUCUCCCCCCACCAAAGUCCUUGACGCCCUCGUCAAGUUUCUUGGCUUUGUAAGCCUUGAUUGCUUUUGUAAAUUGCCACAAAUCUGCCUCCUUUUCCCAACUAACUUCACUAUCUGGCAGCCCUUUCCACUUGAUGAGGAAUUCGGUGUAGUUAGGAAUCCCCCGUUGACGAAUAAGUCUAUCUGCCAGAAUUUCUUCGACUUCUCGAUCAUACGAGGUUACCAUGGUUGGCGGGGCUCUAUGUGACUGGCCUCUACUCGGAUCUUCCUUGUCCUCAUGAUAAGGCUUGAGAAAGCUUACAUGGAAGACAGGAUGAACCUUCAACUGUGGCGGCAAUUCAACUUGAUAGGAG